rnacentral:lncRNA from 1 species
GAUGGUAUAAAUACAGCAGGCUUUUAUUCUUAUAGUUUAAAUAGAUUUAAAAAGCAGAAUGUAUCAGAAGAAGGAAAACACAAAGACAUUACCCAAAAUACAAAGUUAAAAUCCUCCUUGAGACCAUUAGACCUCCGCUAUGGCACGUGCAAGUGACCAUCAACAUCUAAAAGAUAACAUAAAAUAAUUCAGUAACAAAAGCCUAAGAAAGCAAAGAGCAAAUCAUGUUUAACUCCAGCUGCAGAAGCCAGGUGAGGUGGGAAGACUCAGAAAGGACUGUGAUUGGAUUAUAGGAAGCUGCCAUAGAGGAGAGGACUUUUGAGUAAUCUAGAAGAGAGUAAUCUGCAACAUUGUUUUUUGUCCAUAAAACCUUUCACCCUGUACUAUGGCCAGAGUUUUACAGGAGGGUGUAUUCACAGACAGUGGCAUUUUGGAGGGAGAAUUUGUCCCAAGUCAUCAGAAGAAUACAUUCGUCAUCUGAAGACAACACACGGAGAGCUUCACCUCCAGCACUUCAGUGUUGCUAAGAAUUGUGCAGUCGCCAAUAGGAACAGCAAAACCUUUGGAAAACACUUCCAUUGUUUUAGGAAAAUCAUUGGAACGGAUCCUCUUCUGACCUGUCAAUUAUCCUCUUCUGUGUUGCAGUAUCCCCAAGCUGUCUGAAGAAAUUUUUCAGAUACUGCUAUCUGGUCUUACGCAUGCCCUGGUGGUUAUGAAGAAGCCAUCUGGAGAAAGGAGGGCUGGUAGAGGUGACAAGUGACAUCCAGGAGAGAGUAGUACAACAUGUGAGCAAGACUGAGGAAUUCCCAGAAAUUACUUGGCAAGGAGAAUCCAGUAGAUGAAUGAAAUUCCAAUGGCCUGUGGAGUGAGGGCUCAGACUUUAUUAGCUACAUAUUAAAUGAGCUAAUCCAUGAGUAACAGAGACUGGAACAUUCAGCAAAUAUUUCAUGAACUCCUCAACAUUUCCUAGCACCUGUGCAGACUAGGGCCAUGUGACUAAUACUACUGCGUAGGCAGUGGGAGGAAGUGAAGAACCCAGGCACAAUUUUGCGGGCACUCCUCCUAUUUGAACGAUGAAUGUCUGUGAUAAAGACAGUCAUAGAAAGAAUAACAUGUCUGUUCUUGACUCUCUUUUACAGGUCUUUAUUUGAAUCAAACUAGGGAGGAAUAAUGUUUUACCUAUAUCUAAACAUAGAGAGAGGACACUGGAAGCUAGAAUCUGAAAAACUGAGUUGGUAACUGGUAAAAUGGUGACUUCAGUUCUGGUGUCACAAGCAAGACCCAAAUCUCUCUGAGCCUCCACCUCCUUUUGUAAAGGGGAAAGUAACAUGUACUUCACAGUGCUGUUCUGAGUGUGUCAGUUAGCCUUGUAAAUGCAUUGCUUACAGGUAAGUUAUGAUUACAAAUGAGCAGGCUUUUAAGUCCUCAGCUGGUUUUCUGCCCCAAUCAGAAUGAAAUUGGCAUGAAACACAAAGGUGAAGAGGCCUCCUCCACUGCAUUCAGCCCUUGCCACUCCAUGUUUUUCCCUUGUCUUUCUAAGGAUUUACUUAGAUGCAUUUACACCAGUUUAACAGUGGAAAUUUCCUUUGUAGAGGCCCAAGUGUAGCUAGAAAACCCUCAGACAUCAAUCAACUUAGCCCAUAACAGGUAGCUUGCUUCUUUUGAUAAACAUAUAGGCAAACAAACAAA